rnacentral:rRNA from 1 species
UACGUAGGGUGCGAGCGUUAAUCGGAAUUACUGGGCGUAAAGCGUGCGCAGGCGGUUCGUUAAGUCAGAUGUGAAAGCCCCGGGCUCAACCUGGGAACUGCAUUUGAAACUGGCGGGCUUGAGUGCGGCAGAGGGGGGUGGAAUUCCCGGUGUAGCAGUGAAAUGCGUAGAGAUCGGGAGGAACAUCAGUUGCGAAGGCGGCUCUCUGGACCAGCACUGACACUGAGGCACGAAAGCGUGGGGAGCAAACAGG